CAAAACGUGGCGGAAAGAGUCAAAGCUGCUCCCUUACACUGAGAAGAUGUUUGUGCAAGUCAAACCGUUUUGU
rnacentral:tRNA from 1 species